GUGUUCUACAAGGAAGCGCUAUCUAUUCUUCGAAAUAUAUUUCAUAUCUUCUUAUCAUAAGAAAUAACAUUUAUAAACAGAAUUUUAUUUUCCAUCCUAUGGCUUACGUGUAAUGCAGAUCGUCCAUAUAAAACAAUGUAUAAACAUCGGAUUAUGGAGCUAGCUAAUAUAAAGGGGAAAAGAAUUAGAAGAGAAGUUGCAAGGAUUACAAAGAAACUUUUCCUGUAUUUAAUGACCUCAAAUGGUGGAGCCUGUAAUCUUCGUAAUAAUUUUCCAAUAUUCUUUCUAUCGAUAC
rnacentral:lncRNA from 1 species